AUCUAAGCAUUUAUGAAUCAGCAAGAAACCUCCAGUGAAAGACCCCUGAAGGGAGACCCUCGCUCAAAUCUCGGGAAUAGCACGCACCCAGUGAGGCACCGAGACCG
rnacentral:pre_miRNA from 11 species